rnacentral:RNase_P_RNA from 1 species
GGUGCUGCAGGAGGAAAGUCCGGGCAACACGAGCCACCAUACUUCCUAACAGGAAGGCGGCAGGAAGGCAAGCGUCCUGCUGACAGCAAGUGCCACAGAAAGACAAACCGCCUACGGGCAAGGGUGCAAGCGCGAGGUAAGAGCUCACGACAGACGGCAGCGAUGCCGUCCGAUGGCAAACCUUAUGGGUUGAAAGACCAAAUAUACCGACAGUUAAGGGCAGGCUCGCCCGUUGUCGGGGGGUAGGUUGAUAGAGGCCGAUGGCGACGUCGGCAGUAGAUUGAUGAUAGAGGCUGUCGCACGCGACAGAACAGAACCCGGCUUACGAGGUUGC